GCGCAAAGCCGCUCCCGGCCGCUCUCCACCCGCCUGCCCGCGGAGAACGUUUUACGUUUUUCAUGUAGAAAUGAAACGAGGUUCUGCGUGUAGAAGCUGUGCUACCAGUUCCUGAACUUGAGAAGACUUUUCCAUAAGCAAUGAAGCAAUGACAAGCACUACCUGCUGACACUAUCUCCUCAGCAAUGACAGGUGACAAUUAUAGCAUCAAAGCUUUUCCUCCGAAACUGCUGACAAAUACAUUUUUGGUGACAGAAAAUGAAAGCUGAUUUUUCUUUGUCAUGAAAAUGAAAUCUCUACUUAUGUACUUGAAGCUUUAACUGAACAGCAAAAUGGUAAGAUGGCUAGCAUUUUCACUGAAAUAAGCAAGUUGCUACAGAAUACCAACAUUUCAAACCAGGAACUACAUCAGCUACAGGAAAAGUAUUUUUUACUAUAAAUAGGCAGGAGGAGUGCAAAGGUCACCCACUUGGACCCUUAAAAGACAGUAAGUAGACUUCUGACAAUGUUUCAAAGUGUUGGGCACUAGAAUUCAUUACUUAAUUGCAUGAAAAAGAAUGAAGGCAUAUCAAAUUUCUGGUCCAGAGAACAAGCUUACAUUUUUUUGAAUAGUAAAGACCAACAUGACCAACCAUCCAGAUCAAUAUGAUUACCAAAAGACUGCAACACACACAAAAAAAAUACUUUCAAAUGUGUAUUUUCAAAACACAUAAAAUACACAUAAAAUAUUAGGAUGGUGUUUUGGAAACGAGUAACCAUGGAAAAGACACAUGAAAUCUGAGCAGCACUAACCAAGAUGGACAGUAGCAGUACGACACUAAGAUGUCAGCGACUUGAGACAAAGCGGAAGUUAUUUGCAAAACUUGCUUCUGAAUUUAGAACUACAAAGACAGCGCUACUAUGACCUGUGUCCAAGAGGAACAGCUGAGGAACUCAGUAUUUUUAUUCUG